rnacentral:rRNA from 1 species
CCUACGGGUGGCUGCAGUGGGGGAUAUUGCACAAUGGGGGGAACCCUGAUGCAGCGACGCCGCGUGAGUGAAGGAGUGCUUCGGCAUGUAAAGCCCUAUUGGCAGGGAAGAAGCAAGAUGGUACCUGACUAAGAAUCCCCGGCGAACUACGUGCCAGCAGCCGCGGUAAAACGUAGGGGGCGGGCGUUAUCCGGAUGCUCUGGGGGUAAAGGGUGCGUAGGCGGGUAUGCAAGCCAGGGGUGAAAGCCCGGGGGCCAAACCCGGGUCUGCCCUUGAAACUGGGCGGCUAGAGUGCGGGAGGGGUAGGCGGAAUGCGUGGUGUAGCGGUGAAAUGCGUAGAUAUCAGGAGGAACACCGGCGGCGAAGGCGGCCUGCUGGACCGCGACUGACGUUGAGGCUCGAAAGCGUGGGGAGCGAACAGGAUUAGAUACCCCUGUAGUC